rnacentral:tRNA from 1 species
GAAGGUAUAGCUCAAGUGGCAGAGCACAUGUUUAGCAUGCAAGAAGUCCUGGGUUCAAUCCCCAGUACCUCCA